GCUGAGUCUCCCAUCUCAGGGUAUAUGCGUUACCUUCAAAGCUCACUUGGAGAUGCUGCUCCUAGUGGUAACCAGAUGCAGCCAGGUCAUGAACAUCGCCCAUAUAUGCCGGCUCAAGAACAUCGCCCAUAUAUGCCACCUCAUGAACAUAGGCCUUAUAUGCCACCUCAUGAACAUCGCCCUUAUAUGCAACCUCAUGAACAUCGCCCUUAUAUGCCAGCUCAGCCUCAGUCUCAACCUCAGCCUUAUAUGCCAGCUCAGGCUCAGCCACAGGCACAACCACAUAUGAUGCCUGGAUCGCAACCUC
rnacentral:lncRNA from 1 species